UCCAAAAUUUGGCAUGGCACGAGCCAUGCACAUAUGUUUGAAAUGUUUAUUUCAGCAAAAAACCCACAAGUUUACAUUAUUUAACCGUUGAGUUCCAAAAGUAAAUGAAACACAUGAAAGAUGAGUGACACAAUGAUACCGAAUGAGUUUCU